AUUGAACGCUGGCGGCAGGCCUAACACAUGCAAGUCGAACGAGUGGCGGACGGGUGAGUAAUGUCUGGGAAACUGCCCGAUGGAGGGGGAUAACUACUGGAAACGGUAGCUAAUACCGCAUACCAUCGGAUUUGCCCAGAUGGGAUUAGCUAGUAGGUGGGGUAAAGGCUCACCUAGGCGACGAUCCCUAGCUGGUCUGAGAGGAUGACAAGCCACAGUGGGACUGAGACACGGACCAGACUCCGACGGGAGGCAGCAGUGGGGAAUAGUGCACAAUGGGCGCAAGCCUGAUGCAGCCAUGCCGCGUGUAUGAAGAAGGCCUUCGGGUUGUAAAGUACUUUCAGCGGGGAGGCGUUACCCGCAGAAGAAGCACCGGCUAACUCCGUGCCAGCAGCCGCGGUAAUUC
rnacentral:rRNA from 1 species